AUCAGGGAAGACCAUCAGACUGGUGACACGUGAGGAAGGGCAAGGAACCUGAAACGAGAAGAGUUCAUUUCCAAAAUAAACCAGUCACAAGUCACAAAAAACAAACAGGACAAAAACCCAACUCGACAUACAGCAUCACUAAUGCACCGUCAAGUGCCGCUAACUGAGAGAAAGGAGGAAAAGAACACUGGUGUAGCAGAAAAGCAACAGGUUGCACCGCCUCCCGCAGAUGGAGAAGAAAUGCUGAGACAGGUCGUAGUGGCUGGGGGGGCCUGAGUCGCACGCAGAGCUUCCAAAAGCAGCAUCAUUACGGUCGGUAACCCACCGUUAAGCAGACCCACCCUGGGUAUCCUGCUCCUGCUGAUGGGCAACGUUGUGAAGCUGAACCAACCCAGAGACGGUGCAUGAGCCCGUCCACCAUCGCUGCACCGCAGCUGUCAAAAAAGAACUCGGGCAGCCAUGUUCCCAGGUUUGUGAGUCACCUCAAGAGAGAAAAUUCUAAGACAUGUAAGCUUCCGCUAAAGUGUGUG
ensembl:lncRNA